rnacentral:rRNA from 1 species
GACGAACGCUGGCGGCGUGCUUAACACAUGCAAGUCGAACGAAGUGGCGAACGGGUGAGUAACGCGUAAUCAACCUGCCCUUCAGAGGGGGACAACAGUUGGAAACGACUGCUAAUACCGCAUACUGAAGGAGGGGAUUGAGUCUGAUUAGCAAGUUGGAGGGGUAACGGCCCACCAAGGCGAUGAUCAGUAGCCGGUCUGAGAGGAUGGACGGGCCAAAUGGGACUGAGAAACGGCCCAGACUCCUACGGGAGGCAGCAGUGGGGGAUCUUCCGGAAUUGACGAAAGUCUGACGGAGCAACGCCGCGUGAGUGAUGACGGCCUUCGGGUUGGAAAGCUCUGUUAAUCGGGACGCGGUACCGGAAUAGAAAGCCACGGCUAACUACGUGCCAGCCGCCGCGGUAAUAC